CGUUUCCUACUAGAUUUUAAAUAAUUUUGUAACGUAAAUAAACGAACCAACAGAUUUAAGAUACCUAAUUAUUAUACCCUUUUAAUAUUGUUUUCUUUGAAUUUUGUUUUGUGAUGGAGGACGCUUUUAAGAAAUUACAAAGUGUCGGUCAAAACAGUGUUGAUAAUCUCAUAAAAUGGAUGAAGGAUUAAGAAAGGGCGCGUAAGCUAUUUGCCGAUGUUACUGACGUUGCAAACGUGGAGUUGUCAAAAUUCCAAGCGGCGAUAAGCAAACUCGCCACAGAACAGCUGAAGAAUGUUGAUGUUUUCAUGAAGUCGUUGGCAGAUGAGGGACCAAAGUUUUUGGAGGAAGCUGUCAGCUCUGCCGGCUCUGCCGGCUCUGCCAGCUCUGCCAGCUCUGCCAGAUCUGCUUCAAGUGCUUUGACUAGCAGUAGCUGUGAAGCCUAAAUAAAAAUACAUUAUUAUUUAAU